GCUUACGGCCAUACCACGUUGAAAGCACGCCAUCCCGUCCGAUCUGGCAAGUUAAGCAACGUUGGGCCUGGUUAGUAGACUACUAUAUGAAUACUUCGCUCCAAAAAUGGCAUCGCUAUCG
rfam:Haemonchus contortus, ISE/inbred ISE, WGS project CAVP01000000 data, contig: Hcontortus_45468